AUGUUUCACCAAGUCUUGGUCAAGAAGGACGACCAACAAUGCCAACGUUUUUUCUGGCAACAAGGAGAAUUGGAAGACGAACCCGAAGUGUACGUAAUGCAGGUGAUGACUUUCGGAGCGUGCUGCUCGCCAAGUAUAGCCCAAUACGUAAAAAAUCAUAAUGCAGAGCAAUACAUGUCACAACAGCCCGAAGCAGUCAACGCUAUUAUUCAACAGCACUACGUAGACGACAUGCUGCUCAGUGCAGAAACCGAAGCAGCAGCCAUAAAUACAGCGACAAAGGUAGCAGAGAUCCACGCAGCAGCCGGCUUCGAAAUGAGAAAUUGGAUCUCUAAUUCAGCCACAGUCAGUAGGUCACUCCUAGGCUCAUCGGCUCCCGAAGAAAAAAACCUAGACAUCGGAGAAACCCAGACAGAGAAGGUACUCGGAAUGUGGUGGGACGUUAAAAAUGACUGCUUUACGUUCCGUAUAUCCGACAAACUUAAGGAGCUAACUAUGCCACAAGAAAAGGGUCCAACAAAGCGACAACUACUACGAGUACAAAUGACCAUUUUUGACCCACUCGGAUUCAUAGCCCAUUUCGUCAUGCGACUAAAGGUAAUAAUUCAGGAGCUGUGGCGAUCGUCGAUAGGUUGGGACGACAGUAUCCCUCCCCAACAGGAGGAAAAGUGGCUAAAAUGGACACAAGAUUUGCCCGAGAUAGCUGGCCUAAAAAUACCGCGCUGUUUCAGAAACCAAACAGGAACAGACGCUGAAAUAGAGCUCCACACGUUUGUAGACGCGAGCGAGAUGGGCUUCGCGGCAGUCUGCUACCUUCGUUUCGAAGAUAAAGGUAUCAUAGAAUGUAGCAUAGUAAGUGCAAAGACGAAGGUAGCACCGAUCAGCUUCCUAUCAAUCCCUAAGUCGGAACUGCAGGCAGCUGUAAUUGGCGUUCGACUUGCCGAGACAGUACAAAGGUCUGUGAGCUUUACUAUCCACAGGAGGAUGUUCUGGACCGACUCCGAGGACGUACUCAACUGGCUAUCAUCCGAUCAUAGGAAAUAUCACCAAUUUGUAGCGUUUCGAGUUAGCGAAAUCCUACAAUCCUCAGAUAUUUCCGAGUGGAGAUGGGUACCAUCCAAGGACAACGUCGCCGAUGAUGGCACGAAAUGGACGAAGGAUGCGCUCGAAUCGUCCAGUAGAUGGGUCAAUGGACCACCGUUCCUAAAAAAGACGAAGACGGACUGGCCAUCGACGCCACCUCCAACGAAAACAGCCACAGAACUACGCGCACAUUUUCUCCUACACAGCACAGAUCCAGGAGAAGUAAUAGAUGCCAAACGAUUCUCAAAGUGGUCAUCUCUAGUACGACACGUAGCCUUUGUGUGUCGAUUCAUCCGGAAUCUAAAAAGAAAGAUAGAAAAAAGGCCGAUGCAAUUAGACACGCUAUCCGGAGAGGAACUGGAAAAAGCAGAGCGACACUGUUUCAGACAUGCACAACAAACCGAAUUCCAAAAGGAACUGUCUCUCUUUAAAAACCAACACGCACAAGGUGGUAAACCCACAGUAGAGUUAAAGGAGAGUAGCAUUUCAAAGAUGAAUCCAUUCAUGGACGAACAGGGAAUGCUUAGAUCACGCAGCAGAAUUCAGACCUGUGAAUUCACAAACUAUGAUGCAGAAAAUCCAAUAAUUCUCCCCAAGCGAAGUCCAAUCACUAAUCUCCUCCUACUACACUACCACGAACGAUACAAUCACCAAUGCCAUGAAACAGCACUAAACGAGAUACGCCAGCGCUUCAGGAUUCCCAAGCUAAAGGCACUGUAUCGCAGUGCGCGCGCCCAAUGCCAAGCAUGCAAAAAUCAAAACGCAAAACCCCUCGAACCUAUGAUGGCAUCGCUACCCAAGGCUCGACUCGCUGGAUACACUCGCCCUUUCACUCAUAUGGGUAUCGACUACUUCGGACCGAUACUCGUAACGGUCGGCAGACGGGUCGAAAAACGUUGGGGGGUUCUAGCUACCUGCCUCACUACGCGAGCAAUCCACGUAGAACUAGCGGCGUCACUUUCUACUGACUCAUGUAUAAUGGCCAUUCGAAACAUCUGGGCCAGAAGAGGAACACCAGCCGCUAUCUAUAGCGAUCGAGGCACGAAUUUCCAAGGAGCCAGCAAGAUCGUACACGAGCAUAAGGACAAACCAGACUAUGCGGGUAUCGAACAAGGAUUAACUACCCCAGGUAUUACAUGGAUCUUCAAUACACCAUCCGCACCACACAUGGGCGGCGCAUGGGAGCGGCUGAUACAAAGCGUGAAAAAGAACCUUACAGUAGCUCUAAAAGAGAAGAGACCAAGUCAUGAAACCCUUGCAAACGCUCUUACCGAAAUUGAAAAUGUAGUGAAUUCACGGCCGUUAACAGCAGUCCCACUGGAUGACGACGAAUCUCCGGUGCUGACACCAAACCACUUCCUGGUGGGCUCCAGCAAUGGUAUCAGAUCAUGGAUCCCACUAGACGCCACACCGGGCGCUGUGAGAAGAAACUGGGUAGCGUCUCAGCAAAUUACCGAUAUGUUCUGGAAAAGGUGGGUUCAUGAUUAUCUUCCACAGAUUACCCAACGGCCGAAAUGGAACCAACCCACCAAACCUUUGGAAAUCGACGACAUAGUCGUUAUCGCCGACGAGCAACUCCCCCGCAACAGCUGGCCAAAGGGACGAAUCAUCGGGGUGCGAAAAGCAACAGACGGACAGGUGCGGUCAGUGACAGUGCAAACAAUACACGGUAUAUUCGAACGCCCUUCGGUGAAAAUAGCGGUGUUAGAUGUGCGUAAACCUAAAGGAACCUCGGAUAGCGGUUAGUGAAUAAGCAAUCUAAUCGAACGCACCGCGACACAAAGCUGUUUUUACUUUCUGAUUGUAAACAACGUGUACCACGUUUUGUGUACUGGGGGGGAGUGUUGUCAAAACAGCCUUGACAGCCAGACAACCAUCACAAGCCGCCCGACAAGACGGAUGGAACCAAGCGCUAGAUGGCCGCCUGCGACGGACCACAGAACCGAACGCUAGAGGGCCGCCACGACACGAAUGAAAAGACACGAAGCAGUAGCGGCAAAAUAAGCGAAGGAAAGAGACACGGAUUUUUUUUAAUCGCACGACCAGUACCCUAAAAUUGAAUAAAGAAAAAACUAAGCCGGAUUAAGGCAAAUAAAGCGAGAUCAACGCAGUUUUUUCUGUUCACUUAAUUUUGAGUAUUUCCAUUAAAGAAGCCGAGUCGAGGCAUUUUGAGCCGUUUUCUUUGCAUAUCUAAGUCGAGUAAGUCGCUUUUUCCACAGGUGCAGUUUAAGGGAAGUUUAAGGCAGCGGUCUAAUCUUGUUGCGCGCAACAUUGUUGCUCGGCAACAUAUCGCUGAGGUGGUCUAUGAAUGUUGCUGGCAACAUUUUGCUUUGACAUUGUUUAGCGUAAAAAAAUUGCCAAUUAACAGCUCAGAGUUUAUUUUUUAUCAUUCACUUCUUGAAUGAAGUGUUGAAAAAACAAAAUAUACACCAAAAAAUGUAUUAUAAAUGCUUAAAAUCCAAAUUUAGCGGAUGUCAACAAAACGCACACUGCUGCUGUGUCAUUUCAUACACCCGAUUACCAUGGCCAAGGUAAAUAGAAAAUGUUGCCAGACAAAAAUCAAAUUGGUUUGAUUUUGGCCGGCAACAAAGUUGCGCUAGCUGUCAAAAUCCAUACAUUUUGCCAGCAACAAUGUUGCGCGCAACAAGAUUAGACCAGUGCCUAAGGCUCCAGUUUAAGGGAAUUUGCUCGAAUUUCGGAUUAUUCGUGCUCGAAAAUGUCAAUUGGGUAAUACGGACGUCACACGAAGCGUAAACUUUGGCGUAAACUGGAUUUCAGCCAUACAACCCUGAAAUCUUUUGACAGGAAGAUUACGCUCUCCCAUACAAAUCAAGCGUAAACUUUUUGAGUUUACGCCUCGUGUGACGUCCGUAUAAUACGGUAAGGCUCCAGUUUAAGGGAAAUUGCUCGAAUUUUUCCGAUUAUUCGUGCUCGAAAAUGUCAAUUGGGUGUUGUCAAACUGAAUCUCAAAAUGGCAACAUGUCAAACGCUAAGAAGACACCUCUUCUAUACUCCACCUUGAUUUGAACGGUAACAUUCAGUAGUCCGUGGCUUUCGGAUUAUCCGUAAUUGGAAUAUGUGGAUAAAAAAUCUUCAAUGGAUUGGGGUGAUAAAUAGUUAGGAUUACGGCGAGUUUUAUUUUGUUUGCAGUACUCAUCAAUUUGAUUAUUCUAGGUCAAAGAUUAGUUUUGUUUAUUAUUUGUCUUAUCUCUGUUAUUUCAAUCGCAUGGUGCCGUGUGGUGCUAAGGAAACAAGAACAAAUAAUGACGACAUGCGAUAAUGAGUGCAGAACUAACUACAUGUGCGUCAAUAUUGAAUAGCCGCAGAAUGGAAUAGAAUGAGUUUUACACACACAACGAGAUGUUUUGUUUACACCAGAUUGAUUAAAAUCAACGGGGCACGGUCUAGAUUAGUCAGUAGAAGUUCAACUCUUGUUGACUUAAAAAGCACCAAUUCGCAUACAGAAAACGUCAACAUAUAUGGAGUGAAAAGAAAUUUAAUUUAUAAAUCAAUAAACAACAAGGAUCUAAUAAUGGUGCAUAGCAAGGCCGGUUCUUUUCUUGAACAGCCGAAGGUGAAUCUUGUCUCUGCAAAUGCAACUGUAGAUCGAAUGUUUCAUUGUGCAACGAAAUCAAAUACCAGGUAAGCGUGGGAUUUUUUGUUCCAUAAUGUUUAGCAACAGUUGGUUACCAGGAGAUCAACUGUUUGAAUAUAACAACCAGAAGAAUUUGUAACAUACUUCGAUGAAAUCGCAUCGGAUGAGCCACUGCCACGGGCUUUAUUUCCACGUCACACAAAGCGUAAACUUUUUCCAUUUAUUUGGAAUUUUUAUUUAAACAUCUGUACAAAAGUGUAUGCUUCGUGUUUUUUGGUAGGUCAUCAGCUACUGCGUAAACUUGCUCUCAAAUUUACUGGAUUUGUUGUUGUUAGCCCACUUGCGGGUAAUUUUAAACUUUAAGAAGUAUUUAUUUAUAUUUAUAUUUAUAAUUUACAUAUCGUUCACUUUUUGUUUACCAUUUGGGGUAAAUUCGUCCGUCAAAAGUUUACUCAAUGAUUAGAUUUCACCCAUUUGGACCUUAACCGUAGAGUUGGCAACCAAAUUUACACACGAAAGUUGACAACCGGCAUACCCGGGUAUUCCACACGUUUGGACACAAAAUAUUGGGGGCCUUCACGAUUCUAGUUAGUUUUUUGUAUGGAGUUUGACAGUUGGAGGCUGAAAUAAUGUAAACACUCCAUACAAAAGCACACAUAAGACUAGCCUGCAAUUUUCAGUCUAGAUCAAGGUGUUAUAAAUGACAAGGUGAAGUUGUUCAGAGCAAAAUGACAUUUCUCGACUUGACAUUUCUCUUCCGUGGGCUCCGGUAUAAAAAUCGGGGAGGAUUGGUGCGGGGUAAUGAAAUUUGUAUGCAGAGAAUGACAGAUGUCCCCCACAAUGUCGCCCAGCAAAAGCGAUAAAAAUCAACCUUCUAAAUACAUUAUCCUUGGUCUAGAUUAUUCUAUCCCCAAAGCUAGAAUUAUUUUCGAGUACCUGCUCGAAAACACGGGUUUGUUUACAUUUAUCCUAAGGUGCAUUAAAGAGAUCAGGUGAUGCAAUAUAGAAUCAAAGUGUAUGUAGUCGAGGUGGUCUCAUAGCAUUUUUUAUAACCAAUUUUGAGCAUCAAUUUUGAACAGAACGAGUGAAAACUUUUGGUCAAACGAGUUUUCUGGAGGCUUGACGAAUACUCAAAACACUCUUAAAAUCUGCAUUCAGAAGCAGAAGCGAUAAAAAUCAGCCUUCUAAAUUAAUACACCUUGGGACAAGCCCACCUGCCCAAACGUCCAAAACGCGAUGAAUGGGUAAAACUAUGGACCUGAGAUGGGGCCCUAUCUCAGUACCCAACUGGUACCCAAAGGCAGACAAUUUUGGACUUAUUUUUUGAGAGAGAGCUAAAAGCUGAUUCCUCCCCUCUUCUCCACUUCUCUCUAGAAUUCCAUUUGUGUGAGUUCUAGGAGAAGGGGAAAGGGAAGGAGAUGAGAAGUAAGUGAAUUAAAGUUGAUGAGGGAGGGGAGGGACACAUUCACCAGUCACCGCCAAUAUCGAGAAUUUGACAUUGGCCGGUGGUGUUUGGUUCAUCGGCGUUCCGUGUGGACCACGGAUGCUUAGAGGAAAUGCCCUGUAUAUUUCCGUACAGUAUCUCAUUGCGGCGGAACCUUAAAAAUGUUAUUGCGCGGUCGAAUCAGGAAUCGCGCAUCGGAUCGAUGGAAGAAGGGAGUACGAACGAGGGGGAGAAGACGAAGCACAGAGAAAAACGCUACACAUUCGCUCAUACAUUCUUACAGCAGCAGGCAAUUCGCGAGAACAUGAAAUCGGGAGAGUAUAUUUUAACGCUCGCGAAUGAGUGCAAGCAGGUGCGGUAUAGAAGAUAGAGCAAGACAGCCUAGUUUUUGUUCAAGCUAGGUCCAAAAUGUUUCCUUGGGUGUAUAUUAUACUCACUUAGAUAGCUGCUCGAAAACUGCUAUACAAUGCCGACAGCUGACAGGCUGAAAUUUCAGCCUACGAACUUAAAACGGAAAGGGCCCCAUUGAUGGUUUUCUAAGGUAAACAAUGCUUUUUAUCUUUUAAUGCCGUAAUUCGGACGUCACACGAAGCGUAAACUUUGCGUAACUAGAUUUCAGUCAUACAACCAUAUAAUCAUUUGUCAAAUGAUUAUGUUACGCAGUUUAUGCUCUCCCAUACAAAUCAAGCGUAAUUUUUUUGAUGUUACGCCUCGUGUGAUGUGCUUUUUCAUUUAUUCAUUUAAGUUUUUUUCAUUUUAUGAUAAAACUAACGGUCUAUGUGAAAUUUUAAAUUGCUAAAAUUUGACUCGACAAUAAGCACAAUACGGAAAAAAGAAAAA